AUUGAACGCUGGCGGCAUGCUUUACACAUGCAAGUCGAACGGUAACAGGGAGCUUGCUCCGCUGACGAGUGGCGAACGGGUGAGUAAUGCGUCGGAACGUGCCGAGUAGUGGGGGAUAACGCAUCGAAAGGUGUGCUAAUACCGCAUACGAACUGAGGUUGAAAGUGGGGGACCUUCGGGCCUCACGCUAUUCGAGCGGCCGACGUCUGAUUAGCUAGUUGGUGAGGUAAAGGCUCACCAAGGCGACGAUCAGUAGCGGGUCUGAGAGGAUGAUCCGCCACACUGGGACUGAGACACGGCCCAGACUCCUACGGGAGGCAGCAGUGGGGAAUUUUGGACAAUGGGCGCAAGCCUGAUCCAGCCAUGCCGCGUGUCUGAAGAAGGUCUUCGGAUUGUAAAGCACUUUAAGUUGGGAGGAAGGGCAGUAAGCUAAUACCUUGCUGUUUUGACGUUACCGACAGAAUAAGCACCGGCUAACUCUGUGCCAGCAGCCGCAGUAAAAC
rnacentral:rRNA from 1 species